AACGAACGCUGGCGGCAGGCCUAACACAUGCAAGUCGAACGCCCUAGCAAUAGGGAGUGGCAGACGGGUGAGUAACGCGUGGGAACCUUCCCAUUGGUACGGAAUAGCCCAGGGAAACUUGGAGUAAUACCGUAUAAGCCCGAAAGGGGAAAGAUUUAUCGCCGAUGGAUGGGCCCGCGUAGGAUUAGCUAGUUGGUGAGGUAAUGGCUCACCAAGGCGACGAUCCUUAGCUGGUCUGAGAGGACGAUCAGCCACACUGGGACUGAGACACGGCCCAGACUCCUACGGGAGGCAGCAGUGGGGAAUAUUGGACAAUGGGCGCAAGCCUGAUCCAGCCAUGCCGCGUGAGUGACGAAGGCCUUAGGGUUGUAAAGCUCUUUUGACGGGGACGAUAAUGACGGUACCCGCAGAAUAAGCCCCGGCUAACUUCGUGCCAGCAGCCGCCGUAA
rnacentral:rRNA from 1 species